rnacentral:rRNA from 1 species
CAGUAGCCGCGGUAAUACAGAGGGUGCGAGCGUUAAUCGGAUUUACUGGGCGUAAAGCGUGCGUAGGCGGCUUCUUAAGUCGGAUGUGAAAUCCCUGAGCUUAACUUAGGAAUUGCAUUCGAUACUGGGAAGCUAGAGUAUGGGAGAGGAUGGUAGAAUUCCAGGUGUAGCGGUGAAAUGCGUAGAGAUCUGGAGGAAUACCGAUGGCGAAGGCAGCCAUCUGGCCUAAUACUGACGCUGAGGUACGAAAGCAUGGGGAGCAAACAGGAUUAGAGACCCCUGUAGUCCCUGUCUCUUAUAA